CCUGACUUGUUGAUUCAGACCAGUUUACUCUUGGGUUCAUAUUUCACCCCUGUUGGAGUUUAAAUAACACAAUUCUUUGAUUCAGACCAUACCUUGUUAUCACGAUUCUUUUCAUCUCCCACCACUAGUUCUAUGAACUACAUAGCUCUGAAUUCCUUAUUUCACUAUGAGGAUACGUAGGCAUGAGGGUCUCAAUCUUCACCAAGCACUUUAUCUAUUUCUUUUCCUUUCCCUUUAUUCUUUCACGAUUAAUCCUUA
rnacentral:lncRNA from 1 species